rnacentral:tRNA from 1 species
CUGUCUAUAGCUCAGUUGGAUAGAGCACGAGCCUUCUAAGCUCGGGGUCGCAGGUUCGAUUCCUGCUGGACAGGCCA